UUACUUUUAUUUUAUUUUUGCUAUAUCAUUGUACAUUCUUCAUUCAUCUCAUCUAAAAAUGACUAAAAAUGGAUAAGACUUAAAAAAUAAAAAAAGAUAAUUCUCAAACAUGUAAUGGACAUUGGAAUGGACUUAGAGAUUGUUGUUAGGACCCAGACCUUGGACAAAUAUUCAACCCGAACAUGGAUGGAGCAUUCAAGAUCCAAGACAAAUUGUAAUCUUUUAUGUGCUUUCUAGUUUAGGACACACUUGCACACACACGGCUUUCUCUUGGGCUACCUGACAAUGAGACCAUUUAUUUCCUGCAAUCCCUUGUACUUUACAUGUACCCCCUCCCCUUUCUCAUGUACGCAUUUACUUGUUUUCUUUUAUUGCUU
rnacentral:lncRNA from 1 species